GCCUCGCGAGUAACUGGGACUACAGGCGCCCGCCACCUCGCCUGGCUAAUUUUUUGUAUUUUUGGUAGAGACGGGGUUUCACCGUGUUAGCCAGGAUGGUCUUGAUCUCCUGACCUCGUGAUCCGCCUGCCUCGGCCUCCCAAAGUGCUGGGAUUACAGGCGUGAGCCACCGCGCCCCGGCAGCAAAGGGACCAUUAAAAAUCUUUAAUUGUGCCAGAUGUCUCUGACUACCGAGUCAACAUUCACUGAUUGAGCCAUGAAGAUUGAGAGGUCUCACAAGGUCAAGGCUCCACAAGGCUCAGUGCUAAAGGAGAGGAAUCUUAAAAAUGGUUUUUCUUUCGUUUAAAGAUGACACACUCUGAAAUUAAUUUGAUUUUGAGAUUUGAGAACUUGGACAUACAUACUUCCUAUGGAAGGAGUCAUGCUAUACUGAAAAGACACUUGAUCAAGAGAACUCUGGGAGA
rnacentral:sRNA from 1 species